AUGAAAGUGGGGUGGGCAAUAAGGUGUGUCGGGGGGGGCCAUCACUUGUCUGGAAAUUGCAUCAUUGAAUAAAAUAUUGAAAAACACGUUUAUCUAGUGUUACCCCUUUUUUUCUGAUGAGUGACAAUGAUUGAUAGAAAACCAAAACGAAGGCAUUUAGAUCAAUGACACAGGUAAAUACAGCACUGUGGCUUAAUGACUAAAUUUAUCUUUUCAUGUCGUAGAAAUACGUAUUU